GAAAUUGUAAUACAGAUUCUCGGGUGUAUACGAAUGACUAUUCACUUAUGUAAUUAUAUUUAUUUAUACAUUAUACUUAUUGUAAUGGAGACGCAGGGAGUCAGGAAGCAGGUGGUGAGUUUAAUAUAAACGAACAUGGCACAAUACAAAACAAGACAUGAAUCUGACAGGAAAACAGAACCAAUACUGCCUGGACGCAAUUCAUGCUUCCCUUGGGACGAGGAGAGGAGGCUUUCUGCUAAACAAAAGCCUUUUAAUUUCUACCAUUUUUCACCAAGUGCCGCACUUCCAGAAGUCUUCAGACGGCCAGACAAAUGGGUUAGGACUUGAUGUGGUAAACCUUGAUGUUUAUUGUUACUGACUAAACUAUUGACAAAUUCUCUGAAACGACAUUGGAGUUGGCUUAUGGUAGAGAAAUUAACAUUAAGUUAUCUGGCAACAGCUCUGGUGGACAUUC